rnacentral:rRNA from 2 species
GUGCUGUGAGCUCGAUGAGUAGGGCGGGACACGUGGUAUCCUGUCUGAAUAUGGGGGGACCAUCCUCCAAGGCUAAAUACUCCUGACUGACCGAUAGUGAACCAGUACCGUGAGGGAAAGGCGAAAAGAACCCCGGCGAGGGGAGUGAAAAAGAACCUGAAACCGUGUACGUACAAGCAGUGGGAGCACCCUUUGGGGUGUGACUGCGUACCUUUUGUAUAAUGGGUCAGCGACUUAUAUUCUGUAGCAAGGUUAACCGAAUAGGGGAGCCGGAGGGAAACCGAGUCUUAAUUGGGCGUUAAGUUGCAGGGUAUAGACCCGAAACCCGGUGAUCUAGCCAUGGGCAGGUUGAAGGUUGGGUAACACUAACUGGAGGACCGAACCGACUAAUGUUGAAAAAUUAGCGGAUGACCUGUGGCUGGGGGUGAAAGGCCAAUCAAACCGGGAGAUAGCUGGUUCUCCCCGAAAGCUAUUUAGGUAGCGCCUCGUGAAUUCAUCUCCGGGGGUAGAGCACUGUUUCGGCUAGGGGGCCAUCCCGGCUUACCAACCCGAUGCAAACUGCGAAUACCGGAGAAUGUUAUCACGGGAGACACACGGCGGGUGCUAACGUCCGUCGUGAAGAGGGAAACAACCCAGACCGCCAGCUAAGGUCCCAAAGUCAUGGUUAAGUGGGAAACGAUGUGGGAAGGCCCAGACAGCCAGGAUGUUGGCUUAGAAGCAGCCAUCAUUUAAAGAAAGCGUAAUAGCUCACUGGUCGAGUCGGCCUGCGCGGAAGAUGUAACGGGGCUAAACCAUGCACCGAAGCUGCGGCAGCGACGCUGAUGCGUUGUUGGGUAGGGGAGCGUUCUGUAAGCCUGCGAAGGUGGCCUGUGAGGGUUGCUGGAGGUAUCAGAAGUGCGAAUGCUGACAUAAGUAACGAUAAAGCGGGUGAAAAGCCCGCUCGCCGGAAGACCAAGGGUUCCUGUCCAACGUUAAUCGGGGCAGGGUGAGUCGACCCCUAAGGCGAGGCCGAAAGGCGUAGUCGAUGGGAAACGGGUUAAUAUUCCCGUACUUGGUGUUACUGCGAAGGGGGGACGGAGAAGGCUAUGUUGGCCGGGCGACGGUU